UGGAAUCGUGGAAUAGCUUGGGU
rnacentral:miRNA from 1 species